rnacentral:lncRNA from 1 species
UAUAAAAUUUUCUAAUUAGGUAAAAUAUUUUUUUUUGACAAACUAAUCCUUCUUUUUCAAGUUAUGUUGGAAUUUUUUUAUAAAGACGAUAAACGAUUCACAGCCUUUCUAAUUUCCCACAAAAGUGGUGAAUAAUUGACCGUCUUUUAUUUAUUUUCUAUUUCCUUCCAUACCAAAGGGGCCAUAGCGCCCCUCAACUUUUCAAUAUUUACUUUAUAGUCCUUUAGUAGCUUAUAAAUUUUUAGUCAAUUUUUAAAAUAUAUGGGCCUAUCUUGUAAAAAGCUUUUAGUGCUAGUAUAGAGCCUUUUUUUCUUAUGUGUUUUAUAGGUAAAAAUAUACUAAGAACCUCUUAAUUAUAGUGCAUUUUAAAAUAACUGUACGUGUGCUUUCAAAUUUAAAUAUUUUAUUUAUACAUUCUUAAUUUUCUAAUUAUUUUUUAUGAGCUAAUUUAUUUAAGUAAAUAAAAUAGUAUGCUAAAUUUAAUAGUUUUGUUAGAUAUUAGUCAUUGGUUGUUAUUAUUUUAUUAAGAAAACUUAAAAAAAAAUUAAAUUCUAACUAAAUUACUAUUAGAUUUAAUAAAGUUCUUAAUUUCUUUUAUUAGAAUAAUAUAAAUAAAAUAAUUAGAAGUAAGCGAGUGUAAAUUAACGAAAUAAGUUUAAUAUUUUUUAACAUUAAUUAUCUAAUCACUAAAUUUUUUAUUAAAAAUUUGAGUCGUUAAAAUCUUAUUUAUCUGCUAAAAUUUUUAUUUGUAUAUAUUUUGGCCACCCUUGUGAUUGAAUACUGGCUCGUCCCUGCUUCUAUAUCUCAUAUAUAAUUCUAACAACCACAUAAAAAUUUGGGAUAAUUGCCUAUAUACCCCUUAUACGUUUGAAAAUAUUUGAUUUACCCAUACUUUUUUUCUUUCUAAAAUACCCCUCAUAUGUUCCACCGUUAUUGCAAAAUACCCUCGCAGUUAUCUCCUGUUAAGUUAAUUUGGGUUAAACGUGAGUUAAACAUCUACCACAGUUAAAAAAAUAAAAAUGCCAAUUUUGCCCUUAACUUAAGGGCAAAUAAAAAAUGUUGGUGACAGUAGAGGGGUAUAUUGGAAAAGACUAAAAGUCAAAAUACUUUUUGUGCCCCUGACUUUAAGGGCAAAUAAGAAAGUCAAUGAUGGUAGAAAGGUAUAUUUGAAAGGGCAAAAUAGUAAUUUUACAGAGAUAACAGAAUUCAUUAACGAAUUUUAACUCAAGGGGUUUAUUAGAAAUAGGUUGGAACGUAGAAAGAGUAUUUUCAAUAUUAGCCUUCUAAGAGAGGUAAAUCGAAAAGUCGAGAACUUUUCAGGGGUAUAUAAGCAAUUGCCCCUAAAAAUUUCAACAAGUCACAUAUAAUCUUAACAAUCUGAAAAUCCUAAUAAUCUAUCCAAACAAACCUACCAAUCAAAUAAAAAUUCUAAUAAUUCAUGUAUAAUCCUAACAACCUCACUUUCCAUAUAAUUCACUUACUAUUGAAGACGACGAAUCAUUAGCUGUCUUAAUAAAUGCGGUGAACGAUUCACCGCCUUUAAAAGGCCUGGGAGACUUUCAGAAUACAGUGAAUAAUUUACUGCGUAUCAGAAAAAAAUCCUACUUGGCUCCUACAUGGCGAAGAGAUGGUUAGUUUGUCAAAUAUAAAUUUGUAUUUUACAAAUUCUAAAAUUUUAGAGAGUUAUUUUGUAAAAAAGUUUCAGAUCAACUUUGUUAUUAAGGUAUCGUUUGGUUCGAGAAUAAAAGGGAGAAUAAGCCCUUGUUUCCCCCUUUUAUUUCCAAAUAUAAAUGUUUAUAUCCAAGAACAGUAGUUCUCGUGUCUCUGGAAUGAGUUGGUAUAAUUCGGUAAAAGUAUGAAACUAUUGUUUCACCCUUUUUCCAGAAACAAGGUUAAUUAAAGUCUAAUUUAUUUUAGUUAUGGUAUUAAAUCAUUAAUUAAUCUAAUUAAUAUAUUUAAAUCAUUAUUCAUUGCUUAAAUAAUAAAGGAAUUAAUUAAUUUAUUACUUGUAAUUAAUUAGCUAGUUAACUAUUAAUAAUUUAAUUGUUAUUUAUAAACUAAUAUUUAUAUUGAUCAAUCAUUAAUAAUUUUAUUAUUCUAAUUAAUUUUUUUACUAGUUAUCUAACUAAAAUAAUUUACUAAAUAAUUAAAAAAUUAAAUUAUUUUUUAUAUUUAAUUAAUUAAUUAAUAUAUUUUUAUUAUCUUAUACAAUAUUCAUAGCUAAUAAAUUUAUAAUAUAUACAUGUGCACCUAUAUGGCAUAUGUUUUCUAUAUGUAUAGAGAGUUAUUGAAACCCUAGUCGACCACCCUCUUCCUCCUAUCUGUACAGCCGUCGUGCUUCCUCCUUUAUCGCCAUCGAUCCUCUCUCCGGCAGACAAGGGGGCGACGAGAUCCUUCUCUUUCUCUUUCUCUCUCUCCAUCUUCCUUUCCUUCUAACUUGGGUUUGCUCCCCAAGUUGACUUGUGGCUACCGCCUCGCUACUGCCGUCGCUGGCUAGCCACUCCAGCAGCCAUCCCCGCCACGUACUGCUAUCGCUGCCGUCGCAAACCACCCUCGAGCUCGGAGCUCCAGCAAUCUAAGACUAAGGCACUUGGAUGGAGAGGUUCCUCUAGAUCCGGUACGACCGACACACACCGCCACCAGCUUAUCACCGGCCGCCGUACCUCGAACCCCUCCCUGUUGGAAUUGACCACUCAUGGCUGACGCCGCCCCCUGGGCUACGCAGGGGCUUGGGGAGGAAGGUGUUGAAUGUUGCAUCUGGUUUGGUUUCAGGCUAGGUGUCCCUUGUGGCCGCCUCUACUAUUCCGACAGAUCGGGCUGCCGGCGACCCUUCAACAAGUGAGCAUGGCAUUAUGGG